AGCGCAGGCGGAAAAAUAAGUCUAAUGUGAAAGCCCUCGGCUUAACCGAGGAAUUGCAUCGGAAACUGUUUUUCUUGAGUGCAGAAGAGGAGAGUGGAACUCCAUGUGUAGCGGUGGAAUGCGUAGAUAUAUGGAAGAACACCAGUGGCGAAGGCGGCUCUCUGGUCUGCAACUGACGCUGAGGCUCGAAAGCAUGGGUAGCGAACA
rnacentral:rRNA from 1 species